AGAGUUUGAUCAUGGCUCAGAUUGAACGCUGGCGGCAGGCCUAACACAUGCAAGUCGAGCGGUAGCACAGAGAGCUUGCUCUCGGGUGACGAGCGGCGGACGGGUGAGUAAUGUCUGGGAAACUGCCUGAUGGAGGGGGAUAACUACUGGAAACGGUAGCUAAUACCGCAUAACGUCGCAAGACCAAAGUGGGGGACCUUCGGGCCUCAUGCCAUCAGAUGUGCCCAGAUGGGAUUAGCUAGUAGGUGGGGUAACGGCUCACCUAGGCGACGAUCCCUAGCUGGUCUGAGAGGAUGACCAGCCACACUGGAACUGAGACACGGUCCAGACUCCUACGGGAGGCAGCAGUGGGGAAUAUUGCACAAUGGGCGCAAGCCUGAUGCAGCCAUGCCGCGUGUGUGAAGAAGGCCUUCGGGUUGUAAAGCACUUUCAGCGGGGAGGAAGGCGGUGAGGUUAAUAACCUCAUCGAUUGACGUUACCCGCAGAAGAAGCACCGGCUAACUCCGUGCCAGCAGCCGCGGUAAUACGGAGGGUGCAAGCGUUAAUCGGAAUUACUGGGCGUAAAGCGCACGCAGGCGGUCUGUCAAGUCGGAUGUGAAAUCCCCGGGCUCAACCUGGGAACUGCAUUCGAAACUGGCAGGCUAGAGUCUUGUAGAGGGGGGUAGAAUUCCAGGUGUAGCGGUGAAAUGCGUAGAGAUCUGGAGGAAUACCGGUGGCGAAGGCGGCCCCCUGGACAAAGACUGACGCUCAGGUGCGAAAGCGUGGGGAGCAAACAGGAUUAGAUACCCUGGUAGUCCACGCCGUAAACGAUGUCGAUUUGGAGGUUGUGCCCUUGAGGCGUGGCUUCCGGAGCUAACGCGUUAAAUCGACCGCCUGGGGAGUACGGCCGCAAGGUUAAAACUCAAAUGAAUUGACGGGGGCCCGCACAAGCGGUGGAGCAUGUGGUUUAAUUCGAUGCAACGCGAAGAACCUUACCUGGUCUUGACAUCCACAGAACUUNUUGGUGCCUUCGGGAACUGUGAGACAGGUGCUGCAUGGCUGUCGUCAGCUCGUGUUGUGAAAUGUUGGGUUAAGUCCCGCAACGAGCGCAACCCUUAUCCUUUGUUGCCAGCGGUCAGGCCGGGAACUCAAAGGAGACUGCCAGUGAUAAACUGGAGGAAGGUGGGGAUGACGUCAAGUCAUCAUGGCCCUUACGACCAGGGCUACACACGUGCUACAAUGGCAUAUACAAAGAGAAGCGACCUCGCGAGAGCAAGCGGACCUCAUAAAGUAUGUCGUAGUCCGGAUUGGAGUCUGCAACUCGACUCCAUGAAGUCGGAAUCGCUAGUAAUCGUAGAUCAGAAUGCUACGGUGAAUACGUUCCCGGGCCUUGUACACACCGCCCGUCACACCAUGGGAGUGGGUUGCAAAAGAAGUAGGUAGCUUAACCUUCGGGAGGGCGCUUACCACUUUGUGAUUCAUGACUGGGGUGAAGUCGUAACAAGGUAACCGUAGGGGAACCUGCGGUUGGAUCACCU
rnacentral:rRNA from 1 species